GUGGGGAAUAUUGGACAAUGGGCGAAAGCCUGAUCCAGCCAUGCCGCGUGUGUGAAGAAGGUCUUCGGAUUGUAAAGCACUUUAAGUUGGGAGGAAGGGUAGUAACCUAAUACGUUGCUACUUUGACGUUACCGACAGAAUAAGCACCGGCUAACUUCGUGCCAGCAGCCGCGGUAAUACGAAGGGUGCAAGCGUUAAUCGGAAUUACUGGGCGUAAAGCGCGCGUAGGUGGUUCAGUAAGUUGGAAGUGAAAUCCCCGGGCUCAACCUGGGAACUGCUUUCAAAACUGCUGAGCUAGAGUACGGUAGAGGGUGGUGGAAUUUCCUGUGUAGCGGUGAAAUGCGUAGAUAUAGGAAGGAACACCAGUGGCGAAGGCGACCACCUGGACUGAUACUGACACUGAGGUACGAAAGCGUGGGGAGCAAACAGGAUUAGAAACCCGAGUAGUCC
rnacentral:rRNA from 1 species